CGGAUUAAGGAAACCGGCGCACGGGUGCGUAACGCGUCUGCAACUUGCCCUUAUCAGGAGGAUAGCCCGGGGAAACUCGGAUUAAUACUCCAUAAGAUUUUGAUUGGCAUCGAUUAAAAUUGAAAGAUUUAUUGGAUAAGGAUAGGCAUGCGUCAGAUUAGUUAGUUGGUAGUGUAACGGACUACCAAGGCGAUGAUCUGUAGGGGGCCUGAGAGGGUGAACCCCCACACUGGUACUGAGACACGGACCAGACUCCUACGGGAGGCAGCAGUGAGGAAUAUUGGACAAUGGAGGGAACUCUGAUCCAGCCAUCCCGCGUGCAGGAAGACGGCCCUAUGGGUUGUAAACUGCUUUUGUAUGGGGAUAAAUCUACUUACGUGUAGGUAGUUGAAGGUACCAUACGAAUAAGCAUCGGCUAACUCCGUGCCAGCAGCCGCGGUAAUACGGAGGAUGCAAGCGUUAUCCGGAUUCAUUGGGUUUAAAGGGUCCGUAGGCGGGCUGAUAAGUCAGUGGUGAAAUUUUGUCGCUCAACGAUAAAACUGCCAUUGAUACUGUUAGUCUUGAGUGAUAUUGAAGUAGCUGGAAUGUGUAGUGUAGCGGUGAAAUGCAUAGAUAUUACACAGAACACCGAUUGCGAAGGCAGGUUACUAAGUAUUAACUGACGCUGAAGGACGAAAGCGUGGGGAGCGAACAGGAUUAGAUACCCUGGUAGUCCACGCAGUAAACGAUGCUAACUCGUUUUCGGG
rnacentral:rRNA from 1 species